rnacentral:sRNA from 1 species
GAAACUUGGUUAGUGUUUUCGAGUCAAAUAUGACUUGAUGUCAUGUGUAUGAUUGGGUAUAAGAACUAGAACCGCAACCGGAUCUUAAAAGCCUAAGUAGUAUUUG